CAGCCCAAGAGCCCCUUGGCUCGAGGGCUGAUAUUGACCGAGGGCUGAUAAUACAUGCGAUAUGAAAAUAUGACAUGUUAUGAUAUUUUUAUCAUAUGCUUCAACAAUGGAGAAAAAUAACAGAUUCAUAUAUUGAUCCUUUUACGUGGUUCCCAAAUAGAAGUUCAAAAGAGUGAAAAGUUCACGGACAUCGGACCCCAAAUUUAGUACAUUUGAAAUGAAAUUUUUCUAUCAUAUGCCUCAACAGAGAAGAAACACAUUUUAAUAUGGACGAAUCGA
rnacentral:lncRNA from 1 species